rnacentral:misc_RNA from 1 species
GAUCUAUAGGUUUAUGUAUUUUUUUUUUCUAAUUUGAAUUAUUUUUCAAAAUUAAUUUUACUAAAAUACGUUAUUAAUAACAUCUAAUUUGAUAUAUUUAUACUUAUUAUAUAGUUGUACAUCUUAGUUUUACUUGUAUCUACUAAUAUCUACUCAUUUUAUGAAUUUUGCAAAAUUUUCAAAUAAAUUUGCAUAGCGCCGGACUGUUACCAUUACGACCCUUGACCAUAACUGCAGCUGCAACCGCGAUUUAAAACUAUGCUCAUCAUAGAUAAUGUUGUGUGACUUAUGUGCAUUCCCACAGAUUUUAAUUGCUUUGUUGACUUACCGGUACUGUAUAUAUGAAGCCCAACGGUUUGUUUGAAUGGUUAGGUGAAAGCAUGUUGGGUCAUUGGUCUCAUGAAGUCUCAACCUGAAUUCGAACCCAUCACAAACCUUUCACUGGACUUCCUCUCAGGAUUUAUCCUGGUAGUUGCAUGGUUUGGAGUAAGGAGAUUGCAUGUACUAGGUGUUCGUCAGGUGGUCAAGGUGUUCCAAGAAGACGAGGGAAAAGGAAGGAAAAAAGAAGAGGGGGGAGGGGUUUCUAAAAUUCGUUUAAUGAGUAUGAUUCCAAAACAUAGUAAUUUUAAGUGUUUAUAAACAUAUGCCAUGUGUUUUUACCUUUUUUUUUUCUCCCUUAUUGGUGUUGUUAACUUCUUGCUACUGUUCUGACUAUAUUGAUGCUGAUGCUUGGAUUGUAAAACCAUAAUUGGAUAACAAAUGGCAUAAAUGGUAAAUUAUGAUGUGGAUAUUUUUUAAGGUCAUUAGCAUAAUCUUUAUUUAUUAUGUUUUGCCUUUUGAGUCUGUUGGUUGAUAGAUCCAGAUUGUCCUAAUGAAGAAUGGAUUGUUAUCAGUGUAACUUAAAAAAUGAACUCACACAGUAUUUUUCUUUGUGCGAUUCGUAGCCAAUUUUGCUAUACUUGUGUUAACCUCUAAUCUGUAGAUCUCACUCAUAGGUUCAAUUUCCAAGUGAGUAAGGAACUAUCCUUCUGAUCAUAUUGUGUAGGUUUUCCACUGUUUUG